rnacentral:rRNA from 1 species
UACGUAGGGUGCAAGCGUUGUCCGGAAUUAUUGGGCGUAAAGAGCUCGUAGGCGGUCUGUCGCGUCUGCUGUGAAAACUCAGGGCUUAACCCUGAGCUUGCAGUGGGUACGGGCAGACUAGAGUGCGGUAGGGGAGACUGGAAUUCCUGGUGUAGCGGUGAAAUGCGCAGAUAUCGGGAGGAACACCGGUGGCGAAGGCGGUUCUCUGGGCCUUACCUGACGCUGAGGAGCGAAAGCGUGGGGAGCGAACAGG